GGAAAAAUAAAGCAAAUAAUCACAUGCACAAAACCAAAUAAACAUGCAUAGUUAAAUAAAUUUCAAUUAGAACUACUGUAUACACUGGGGGGUAACUUUGUUACCUUAAAGUUCACAUAACCGAAAAUGUUUUGAAUGUUCAGAAAACAUUAGCAAAAUGCUCUUAAAAUAUAUUUUUGUUAGCUGGGUAUCACUUCUGCUGUUGUUAAUGCAUUUAUAAUGUUGUCUGUUUUUACUCAGUUUCAUGGUAAUAAUUCUGCAUAUCAUUUGGCCUGUGCAGAUCAUUGUAAUAUUACUAGUUCAGCUAUUAUUACUCUUAUUACUAGUUCAGUUAUUAUUGUUAUAUGUGACCCUGGAGCGCAAAAGCAGUCUUAAAUCGCUGGGGUAUAUUUGUAGCAAUAGCCAAAAAUACAUAGAUUUUUAUUUUAUCUCAAAAAUCAUUAGGAUAUUAAGUAUUUUGUAAAUUUCCUACCAUGAAUAUAUCAAAACUUAAUUUUUGAUUAGUGAUAUGCAUUGCUAAGAACUUCAUUUGGACAACUUUAAAGAUGAUUUUCUCAAUAUUUAGACUUUUUACACCAUAAGAUUCCAGAUUUUCAAAUAGUUGUUUCUCUGCAUAAUAUUGUUCUAUCCUAACAAACCAUACAUCAAUGGAAAGAUUAUUUACUCAGCUUUCAGAUGAUGUACAAAUCUCAGUUUUGAAAAACUGACACUUAUGAAUGGUUUUGUGGUCCAGGGUCACAUAUUUCUAGUUAAGUGACAUUUCGUCUUCACAUCUAUAGUUGCAAAAUCAAUGUAAUCAGUCAUGUCAGGGCGAAAAUAGUUGAAAUGCACUGCCAAUUUUUCCAUGAAUCUUUUUCUCUUCCUCAUAGCUUGUGGUUGGGUUUCAUUGGUGCUUGCAUGAGUGGGUGGCAUAUGACAGCACAGGUCUCACUAAACCCUUUUCAUUAUCGCUCUCUGUCUCUCUCGGUGCAUUUCUUCUCUCUGAGCUCUUGUUCUGUUCUCUUCAGUCAUCAGGGAGAUAUUACAGGAUUUUCAGUAACACACAGAGCUGAUGUGGAUGUUUCUGCUCCUCAUCGAUUCACUUUUUACACUCAUCAGAAGAGGAGAUUGUGGAGGGACGGUGAUAUGUGACAGAUCACAUGUGAGAAGAGAUAAAGGCAUUAAAUGAGAGAUGGGCAGCAGAGAGAAAGACUCAAAGUCUAAAGAAUCACUGAAGAUUAUUCGCAGAGACAGCAUGGAGCAAAAACCAAACAGUGAGUAUUUUGUCUGUGUUACGUUUGCCUUAUUAUUACAGAAAAGGAAGGCCGAGGCUAGCUGUCACGGUAUUUAUUUCAGUAUAUAUAAUAAAUAGCAUGAAAGCCUUCAAGAGUUGGUUAAUACAUAGCAGUGAUAAAACAAGGACAAGGUGGGGUUUGUGGAGGUGGAUGGAGGCGUGAGAUAAGCAGCUGUUGGUUUGUAUUAUGAGUAAGAAUAAACUCCUCCCAAAAUUAUUUUCCGGUUCAGUUAACGCAUGUUGACAUUUGUAUGGGGCAGGUUGUCACAAUGAAACCUGACAUUAAACAGGAUGUUAUUACAUUUUAAUUUAGGCUUUUUAACAAAAAGUAACACACAGAAAAUUCAAAUCAUUGUGUCGUUGUUCUAAUAAACAGUACUUAAAAACUACUAAAAUGUAACUUCUAGCUUUUAAAAUUUGUGACAACUUGCCCCUAUUAAACUUCAUUAUAUAGCUGAUUCGUAUCUUAAUGUACGUCAGUUUGUUUUAUUGUGUUUAUUUAAGUUUUAAAGUAUUUGUGUCAUUUACUGAAAAACGUUACUGAAAUAUAUGGAGGGAUUAUUGGGUCAGAUUUUAGUUUAUAAUCUGACCCAAUAAUCCCUCCAUAGAAAUACAGACCCUGUGACAACUUGCCCCGGUCUCUCCUAUAUGUCAUAUUCUUUUCUUGAUGAAGUCCUGAUUUAAACUUAUAAUUGUUUUUGUUUAUUCCAGUGUUUCUGGAUAUAGACAGACUUGUAGAGUUUCAUUCAGAAUCAGAAACGGUCAGAGAUGAGGUGAGAUUCACAGAUCGUCUACAGAGAAGGAGAUACAAGUGAUGUGUGGAACUGAAAUAAGAAUUAAAUGUGUUUUUGGCUUUUUUUAGCAUCGGAAACAACCUAGCAACCACAUAGCAACACCUAAGUAACCACUCAGAACACACUAGCAAUUGCAUAACAACACCCUAGAAAUAGCCCAGAAUACCUUAGAAACCACCUAGCAUCCACCCAGAACACCCUAGCAACACCCUAGCAACCACAUAGCAACACCCCAGCGUUAAAACCUUCAGAAGAACUUCCCCCAAAUCCUAGCAACCAUUCAGAACACCGUAGCAACCACAUACCAGCACCGGAGUAACCAACUAUAAUAACUGCAGGGCACCAGCCACAAUACCCUAGCAACCACACAGCAACACCUAAGCAACUUCCCUGAACACUGAAUAGCAACACCAUAGAAACGGCCCAAAAUACCUUAGCAACCACCUAGAAACCAUCCAGAAUACCCCAGCAACAACAAAGUAGAACCCUAGCAUUAAAACCUUCAGAAGAACUUCACCCAAAACAUAGCAACCGCCUAACAACCAUUCAAAAUACCCUAGCAACCACAUAACAACACCCUAGUAACCACCUAUAAUACCUAAGCACCUGCGUGGCACUAGCCACACCACCCUAGCAACCACACAGCAACACCUAAGCAACCACCCAGAACACUGCAUAGCAACACCCUAGAAAGGGUCAAAAAUACCUUAGCAACCACCUAGAACCCAUCCAGAAUACCCCAGCAACCACAAAGUAGCACCCUAGCAUUAAAACCUUAAGACUAACUUCACCCAAAACAUAGCAACCGCCUAACAACCAUUCAAAAUACCCUAGCAACCACAUAACAACACCCUAGUAACCGCCUAUAAUACCUUAGCAACUGCAUGGCACCUGCCACAAGACCCUAGCAACCACAUAGCAACACUUAAGAAACCAACCAGAACACACUAGCAACUGCAUAGCGACACCCUAGAAACAGUUUAAAGUACCUUAGCAACAACCAAAUAAACUAUUAAAAAAAAACCUGAUCCAAACUCUCUGGCUAGGCUUUCUCAGUCAACAUAAAGUUUGUUUUGACAAAUCUAGUUGUAUUGUAUUAUAAUUGCUCUCUUUUUUGUCUUUAGGUCACUUCAGUACAUCUUCAGUACAUUCAGUUCAUCUUCAUCUUCAUCUUCAUCUGUCAUUCAGCAGUCAGUAAUGGAUCAGUAUGUCUCCCUCUGCUGGACACUUGCGUGUAGCACAAGAGGAGGAUUAAAGGGACAGUUAACCAAAAAAAAAAAAAAAAAGGAAAAUUCUGUCAUCAUUUACUCACCCUCAAGUUGCUCCAAACCUGAUAUUUUGAAGAACGCUGGUAAGAGAACAGUUUCUGGUACCCACUGACCUCCAUAAUAUGGAAAAAAAAAAAUACUAUGGCAGUCAAAGGCUACCAGCAAAUGUUUGGUUGCCAACAUUCUUCAGAAUACCUGCUUUUGUGUUCAACAGAAGACAGAAACUCAUACAGGUUUGGAAUAACGUGAGGGUGAGUAAAUGAUGAGAGAAUUGUUAUUUUCGGAGAACUGUCCCUGUAAGUCUUGUGUGUCGGUUCUGAGGGAAUGACAUCAUACAGUACAUGCGUGUAACACUGUAGAUGGUGUUAAACUCUCUGGAUUAUCUGUGCUGUUCUGAAGCUUUUCUGUCAUGGUGUUUGAUCUGAAAGUGGAGCUCAGAACACACUCCACCAGCAUUUCGCACCUUGUUUGAUUUUCUCCUGAUGUUACUUGUUUCAGAGCCUAGAGAAACUAAAGAUAUUUCUGACUGUUCACUGUAACAGCGCAACAGUUGAAUGCUGCUUUACUCCUUUUUUGUUUAUUUUUAGAUUUGUUUAUAACUUGUACAUAGUUAUUAUAAAAUAAAAACCUCUGUGAGGUGCAUUACAUCUAAUGGUGUGUGGAUUUAAUCACAUUUGAACAAUGAAUAAAAACAGUGCUGCAGGUACAAAAUAUUUCUGUAUUUAGUUUUUUUUUUUUUUUUUAAAUAUGAUGUGUUUUUGAAAUAAGGUCUUUGGUGGAUGCUGAUAAAAAGUGAAGAACAGGGUAUAAACAAAAAAAAAAAAAAACAUUUUGUUAAAAUAACUUCGCAAAAGAUGAACCUGGACUAGACAUUAAGACGGAAAAAAAAAGAUUCUCACCGAGGUCCACCUAAAAAAGGUUCAGAAAUCUUUAAUGCAAGACAAGAUUUUGAUAUUCAGUUGAAUUAUUUAAAUCAUGUUAUAGCGGUUGCAAAAAGAGCGACACUUAACUCUAUUAAAACAAAUUCCAGCUUUUGCUUAAACUCAGACGAUGAGGUGAUUUAGUGAAACUCCUCCCGGAAACAACCUAGCAACCACCCAGAACACCCUAGCAACCACAUAGCAACACCUAAGUAACCACUCAGAACACACUAGAAAAACCCUAGAAACAGCCCAGAAUAACCUAGCAACGGCAACAACCUUGUUCUCCAUGGUGGGAUUGAUCAAAACCAAAACUAGGAUCAGUUUGCUCUGGACGGAACACUAUCAUCCAUCAUGAUGGUGAACAUUUAAGUGGGAGCUUAACUGAUAAUGCUAGUGUUAAUAUUAAGACGUUAUAAAUUAAGUAUCAGUGCUUUAUGUUUAUUGUAAUAGCUGCAUUGAAGAUAAACGGUUGUCAUCGUCUUUGUCCACUAGAUGGCAGAACUGAGAGACAGAAUGAAGAGUCAGAGAUCUGAUCUGAAGCUGAAUGAAGAUCAUCAUGUGUCACGUGGAGCAUGAAGAUCUCUGGUGACUGAAUCUGGUUUUAGUGAGGAGAAAAGAGCUGAUGACAAAUUUGUAAUAAUAAUCAUAAUAUUCUCAGACUUUUACAAUUGGCUUCAGGUCAAACUUUCAUUGAGUUGAAUAGAUUAUUAUACUUUAAUAAGGAUAACUGAAUCUGUGUAUAAAGUACAGAACGUGUGCUCCCCCAAACAAGCCUUGAGCUUUUUACAGCAGAUGUGAGGAUGAUGUUUCUUAGAUCAAAGUGUAAGGCAGAUGUGAGCAAUAAACAGACAGUACAGAACGGGUUUAACUACAUUAGUCAGUCUCUUUCUCCAUGAACACUUAACCUCAAGCUGCUGCACUUUGAGUUGCCCUUUCCAAUCUGUGAGUGUUUUAACGUGACUUUUAGGUCAUGCACAGGCUACAUCUAAAAGUGUAAUAUUUCUACUUUCCUUCUUUCUCUUCUGCAGUCUCUCAUGCUGCAGAUGAACCAGAGAGAGUCAUUAUUAACAACGUGACUAAAAUCAUUUGGGCCACCUCUAUAAAACAAGCGAGAGUUCUGUCAAGUGUCUUGUAAAUAUACAGGUUUUACACACAAUGCAAUCUACCGAUACACUCGAUCUGCUUGGAUGUGAAUGGUGUCAUCUAGAGCAGAAUAACAAACUUGCCCAGCAACAAUUUUGAAGGUCAAAGCAGGACACAUUGUUCACAUAGCAUUUUAUUACAUAUUAACUCCAACAGAGUUAACAUCACGACAUUAACAGAGUUGUUAUUCUUUAACCUCUUAUUCUUUAAAGGUAAAAGAUAAAAAAUGCAGGCUUUAACCUGAACAUUUAGACAACGUUAAAACCGGUUCAGCUUCCAACAUUAUCAGUGAUAGAAGGAAAGAUUCUCGAAGCUUCAUAGCAGGCAGAGACAUGCUAAAACUUUAUUAACUGUGUGUGUGUGA
ensembl:lncRNA